UACGUAGGGGGCAAGCGUUGUCCGGAUUUAUUGGGCGUAAAGAGCGUGUAGGCGGCUUGGUAGGUCCGCUGUGAAAACUCGAGGCUCAACCUCGAGAUGUCGGCGGAAACCACUUGGCUAGAGUCCGGAAGAGGAGAGUGGAAUUCCCGGUGUAGCGGUGAAAUGCGCAGAUAUCGGAAGAACACCUAUGGCGAAGGCAGCUCUCUGGGACGGUACUGACGCUGAGACGCGAAAGCGUGGGGAGCGAACAGG
rnacentral:rRNA from 1 species